rnacentral:rRNA from 1 species
GGUUGCGGACAGUGUCUGGUGGGUAGUUUGACUGGGGCGGUCUCCUCCUAAAGAGUAACGGAGGAGCACGAAGGUUGGCUAAUCCUGGUCGGACAUCAGGAGGUUAGUGCAAUGGCAUAAGCCAGCUUGACUGCGAGCGUGACGGCGCGAGCAGGUGCGAAAGCAGGUCAUAGUGAUCCGGUGGUUCUGAAUGGAAGGGCCAUCGCUCAACGGAUAAAAGGUACUCCGGGGAUAACAGGCUGAUACCGCCCAAGAGUUCAUAUCGACGGCGGUGUUUGGCACCUCGAUGUCGGCUCAUCACAUCCUGGGGCUGAAGUAGGUCCCAAGGGUAUGGCUGUUCGCCAUUUAAAGUGGUACGCGAGCUGGGUUUAGAACGUCGUGAGACAGUUCGGUCCCUAUCUGCCGUGGGCGCUGGAGAACUGAGGGGGGCUGCUCCUAGUACGAGAGGACCGGAGUGGACGCAUCACUGGUGUUCGGGUUGUCAUGCCAAUGGCACUGCCCGGUAGCUAAAUGCGGAAGAGAUAAGUGCUGAAAGCAUCUAAGCACGAAACUUGCCCCGAGAUGAGUUCUCCCUGAGACUUAGAGUCUCCUGAAGGAACGUUGAAGACGACGACGUUGAUAGGCCGGGU